rnacentral:misc_RNA from 1 species
ACCAUCAAUUAUAUCUGGUUCACUGUCCCCAUCAUCAUCAUGGUCCGCCCUGUCUCUCAACCUCAUCUCAAACAUCUCUCUUCCCAACCAGUCAACUGAACUAGAUGAACUCUUGAAUCCAUUCGCACUUCUAGAACUGCCUGCUCCUCCGUGGCCAAGGCCAGUGGACGCCAUAAAUGAACCUUGCAGAAGUCACAGACACUAAUCUCUGCACCUCUCUGCAUAAUUCCUUCUGGUGCAGCCCUCCAUUCCGUGGAUGUUCCUGUCUAUCUCGAUGAAUACAAAGCAGUAUCGAAGCAUUUCUUCUUCAACGAUUCCAGCAAAUAGAGAUUUUCAAUCAAUUUACACCACAAAAUGCAUAUUCAAAUUGUAGAAAUUGAAUAGAAAAAGUCAGUUGAAGAGUCAGAUCAAACGCAGACGAGUUAAUUUUUGAAUAAUUUCUUCUGGUUUCGUCGUUUGGUUCUUUCUAAAAUGCGAGA